rfam:Schistosoma mattheei strain Denwood, Zambia genome assembly, scaffold: SMTD_scaffold0012254
GCAAUGCUGAGGAGUCGCAUAAUAGGACGAAACGACCGUCCAUUGC